rnacentral:tRNA from 1 species
GCUUGGUGGUGCAACGGUAAAGCACUCAGCUGCUAACUGAAAGGCUGGUGGUUCAAAUCCACCCAGCA